CUUUAUGGUGAGCCGUGCGUGGGACACCUUCGGGUGUGCCGGGUCCCUUUGCCCCGGUCGACCAACCCGCGCACGGUUCACCACCCUC
rnacentral:antisense_RNA from 1 species